rnacentral:lncRNA from 1 species
GGGGGGGGGGGGAGAAAGGAGAGAGAAGAGGAAAUAGCUUAGCCCAAGUCAGCUGGUGGAGUAUUCUGCUCAAUGUGAAGGGGGGCGGCUUUCCAGUUGGCAAGCUGACUUCCUUAAUUGCGCAUUCAGUCUCUACUUAGGGUAAUUGAAACGAAGCGGGGCUCGGCUCUGACAAUUAGGGUCUGCGACUAGGCCAUUAACCCUUUCUGCAACAGCCCCCUCCCCGGAUCGAUGCCUCGCACCUUUCCAAGGUGGGGAAGGGUUGCGGGGACGCCCCGCUAGGGCUCACCAGAGGACGACGGGCCCCAAACCGAGGCGCGUGUACUCAGUGCCAGCAGGUCUAACCCGGCCCCGCGGGCCCUGGAGCCUGGUUAGGACCGGGCCGGGAACGGGGGAGUCGCGCGAGGCGUGGGGGUGGUGGUGGUAGAGGGGUUUGCGGCCUCACCGCCCCUCUGCAACAGAUGUUUCAUCCGUGUAAGACAAAGGGAGAGCGCCUGCCGGUGCCGGGAGAAAAUCCGCAGGACUCCCUCAGGGGCAGCCACCCUCGGAAGUCAGCCGAGUGAAGCAGCUGUUCCUUGCACACUCCACUUGACCAAAGAUGAUGAUAAAUGAGGCCGGGACCGCGUCGGGGACGCGGCGGCAAAGGGCGCGCAAGGGCGGGGCGUACGGCCCGUAGGUCCCUCCCCAUACCUCCGGCCCGGCGAGAACGCAGAGGACAGAGGCCGAGUGGGCAAAAUCAAAGGCCUGCGCUUCCCUCCCGCGCCCUGCGCAGCCUCAGCACUCGGCGGCGAGGAAGAAGGCAGCAGAGAGGUGCGCCCCGACCGCUGGGCUCAUGAUUGAGCCCUUUUCCUCUGGGCCCCUGCUGCAGCUCCACCCUCGCCCCUGCCCUUCCCCCUCGCGCCCCACUCUCCCCUAAUGCCUUGGUCCCCACCGUGCUUCAAACCUAUUAACGCUCG